GGGACGCAGAGGAAAGACUGGGGAGCCUGGACUCAGAGGCCUGCCUGUUGAGAGGGUUGAGCCUGCAGUCCCAGGGGCAAAAGGGGAGAAAGGAGAGAGAGGAGACCCUGGCCAGCCUGGUGCUGAAGGGGCCAGUGGGAUGAAAGGACAAAAAGGUGAUGUUGGCCUUCCUGGUCCUCCUGGUCCUGUGAUGACAGCUCAUGGAUUGAGACAGCUCUCUGAAACUGAUGCAAUGACGGAGAAGACACAAAAGGGAGAAAAGGGAGAUGAGGGAGAGAGAGGACCGCAAGGCUUCAAGGGAAACACCGGGCUGCCAGGACUCAAGGGAGAUCAAGGACCAGAGG